rnacentral:rRNA from 1 species
UKARYUANVRNMNUASAMSCGAAAGCCUGACGGAGCAAUACCGCGUGAGGGAUGACGGCCUAUGGGUUGUAAACCUCUUUUCUCAGGGAGGAAAUCAAUGACGUUACCUGAGGAAUAAGCAUCGGCUAACUCCGUGCCAGCAGCCGCGGUAAGACGGAGGAUGCAAGUGUUAUCCGGAAUCACUGGGCGUAAAGCGUCUGUAGGUGGCUUAACAAGUCAACUGUUAAAUCUUGAAGCUCAACUUCGAAAUCGCAGUCGAAACUGUUAGGCUAGAGUAUAGUAGGGGUAAAGGGAAUUUCCAGUGGAGCGGUGAAAUGCGUAGAGAUUGGAAAGAACACCGAUGGCGAAGGCACUUUACUGGGCUAUUACUGACACUCAG